rnacentral:misc_RNA from 1 species
GAGACUUGAUGCUGACAAUUAUGAGACUGAUGAGGAGUUGAAGAAAAUUCGGGAAGAUCGUGGAUAUUCAUACAUUGAUUUCUGUGAGGUUUGCCCUGAGAAACUACCGAAUUACGAGGAGAAAAUCAAGAACUUUUUUGAAGAACACCUGCACACCGACGAGGAGAUCCGUUACGCUGUUGCAGGAAGUGGUUACUUUGAUGUCCGCGAUGUGAAUGAGAGCUGGAUUCGCGUCUGGGUAAAGAAAGGUGGAAUGAUUGUUCUUCCUGCUGGAAUCUAUCACCGCUUCACGCUUGAUUCAAGCAACUACAUUAAGGCAAUGCGUCUCUUUGUUGGUGACCCAAUUUGGACUCCAUACAAUCGUCCACAUGAUCAUCUCCCCGCAAGGCAAGAAUAUGUUGAGACGUUUGUCAACGCAGAUGGCGCUGGUCGUGCUGUUAAUGCUGCUGCUUAAAUCAACUAUAGGAGAGGAAUUUGAAAUCGUACUAGAUUGUAAUAAAUAUUACCAUAUGGUGGCUUUGCUGUUCUUGAUGUGUGCCUUACUAAGCAUGUUUAAUGUUGUAUUGUGGCACUAAAUAAAUCACCCCCUAUGGGAGAUUGAUUGUUUAUAUGCAAGUGGAAUUUGUUAUGUGAUUUUAGGUGCUUUGUUCUUGUCAAGUAAUCCAAUAUUUCCUAUUUCUGCUUGUAAUUUAGUUGCAAUUUCUUUUUUUUGUUGGUUG